rnacentral:lncRNA from 1 species
UGAGAAACAACUGCUCCUGGCUCACCAAUUAUGUCAGAAAGGAGGAUGAGCAUUGAAGAAACUCGUUAUGGAGUUUGCUUUCAACAUGGCAAGAUUAGCCAUUUGGGCAAGAAACUGCUCUUGCCUGGACUGUUUGUUGCUGUAUAAACUGGACAUGCAGGACCCACAAGAAAGUGACUGCUGAACUUACAAAACAAGACAGUACUGAAGGGUUCCUGUUGAAAUGGAGAAGUGUGCCAGACACACUGUGGCCUAUGGGCUGAAGAUGGAUGCCCCAACGUUACAGAGGAACUUUGGGUGACUGUCCAGAUUCCACUGAGGAGAAAAAUGGAGAAAGACUAUGGAGAAAAGAGUGGAGUCAAGAGAAAGAAGCAAGCUUUACUAAAGAGAAAGUCUAUGAGAUGGCUAGGAAGCGGUCUCCUGCACCAAUCCGUUCAAGGGUACCACCUACCUUCUCUUCUCAAUGUGGCUGGAUUUAUGUUGAGGUCUUUGAUCCAUUUGGACUUGUUUUUUGCAUGGUGAUAGAUAUGGAUCUGUCUGCAGUCUUCUACAUGCCAGCAUCCUAGACACACUGGGGAGGAUCUAGGCAUUGCUCCAAAUGAUAUGACAGACUUUGAAGAUAUCCCAUGGAAGGCCUCACCCUCCCAGGAGAGCAGAAACGGGUUGGGACAGG